UUUACAUCAAAUGACUACGGGCCAUAAAUUUAAUUUUGAAGAUGUAAAAAUUCUUGAUAGAGAAGAGGUUGGUUAUAGACGUAAUAUAAGCGAGAUGAUACACAUAAAAAGAAAUUAUACCGUCAAUCAUAGAGAAGAUGUGCAACACCUAAGCAUGAUCUAUAAUAAUAUACUUAGAAAGUAAUAAGUAAUGGCUGGCCUCGUCAAUAGUGUUAAGACCAUUCCUGAUCAAUAUUUUGUAACCUUAUGUUGAUGUCAUUAUCAUAAAUAUAGAAACGGAUAAAGUGAUGGGAUUGUAUGUCUGCUCUCCAGGAGAUUUUGAUUUCUUUGUUGAAUCCUAAUGUUUUUAAAAAGCGUACAAUAUUGUUCUCGUAACUAGCCUUGAAAAAGAAACGAUUUGUUUCGAAACGUCGGCAUUGUUACACAGUGAACAAUAGAUAAUAAACAGUGUCCAACACU